UACGUAGGUGGCAAGCGUUGUCCGGAUUUACUGGGUGUAAAGGGCGUGCAGCCGGAGAGACAAGUCAGAUGUGAAAUCCACGGGCUCAACUCGUGAACUGCAUUUGAAACUGUUUCCCUUGAGUGUCGGAGAGGUAAUCGGAAUUCCUUGUGUAGCGGUGAAAUGCGUGGAUAUAAGGAAGAACACCAGUGGCGAAGGCGGAUUACUGGACGAUAACUGACGGUGAGGCGCGAAAGCGUGGGGAGCAAACAGG
rnacentral:rRNA from 1 species